rnacentral:tRNA from 1 species
GGGGAUAUAGCACAGAUGGGAGUGCGUUCGGUUCGCAUCCGAGAGGUCGAGGGUUCGAGUCCCUUUAUCUCCA